ACAGCCUCAGGCCAAGCCUUUCCCAUACAAGGCCCUGAGGAGUGCCAAAGGGGACAGGCGAGGGCUGAGGGCAGGGAGAGCCGGUUACUGCAGCACAGAGACAGGAGGGGCUGUUUUGCAGAUUCUGCUUCUCUUCAGGACUCAGCAUCAACGCUUGGCUCACAGACUCUCCAGGGGAGAAAACAAUUCAUUUGUAAUGGCCCCUUCAUCGCUUCUGAGUCUGUGCCUCUCAGUAGGUGCCUUGACUUCCGCUGGCCUCGGUGUCUUCGUUUGCCAACAAAACACCUCAACAUCCACCGUGUUUUCUGCUGUCAGAAAAGAAGUCUUCUAUGAACGGAAGGUGUUGGGCUUCAUGGCUCUUGGUUUGUGCAGCUCCCUAAUAUGGAUCUCCGGGGGGCCACCUCUGCACCAUCAGGGAUUUUUGCUGGUACACGUUCAGGUCUGCAUCUGGAUUGGACUGAGGGGUUGCAAGAACCUGGAUUUGCGUGCCAGGUGAAUAAUUAAGCACUUUGACAAUGGGAGGGAUGUUCAUGUUCUCAGAUAUCCAGCUUUUGCAAAGCGAGCUUUCCGCUGAAAGGAAAUUAUACCCUAUUGUGCAUGAGGCUUUCCGUCAGAGGCUCCCCCUGGCUUCUCUGCAUAAACCCUACAAAAAGC